UCUCCGCGAACACACCAAAUGGCGGACGACGCCGGUGCUGCGGGAGGGCCCGGAGGCCCGGGGGGCCCUGGAAUGGGAGGCCGCGGCGGCUUCCGCGGAGGCUUCGGCAGCGGGCCCCGGGGUCGCGGCCGGGGGCGGGGCCGGGCCGCGGCCGCGGCCGCGGGGCUCGCGGAGGCAAGGCCGAGGACAAGGAGUGGAUCCCCGUCACCAAGCUGGGCCGCCUGGUCAAGGACAUGAAGAUCAAGUCGCUGGAGGAGAUCUACCUCUUCUCCCUGCCCAUCAAGGAAUCCGAGAUCAUUGACUUCUUCCUGGGGCCGUCCCUCAAGGACGAGGUUUUGAAGAUCAUGCCCGUGCAGAAGCAGACCCGCGCUGGGCAGCGCACCAGAUUCAAGGCGUUUGUGGCCAUUGGGGACUACAACGGACAUGUUGGUUUGGGCGUUAAAUGCUCCAAGGAGGUAGCCACCGCUAUCCGCGGCGCCAUCAUCCUGGCUAAGCUCUCCAUCGUCCCUGUGCGGCGAGGCUACUGGGGGAACAAGAUCGGCAAGCCCCACACCGUCCCUUGCAAGGUGACUGGCCGCUGUGGCUCUGUGCUGGUGCGCCUCAUCCCCGCCCCCAGGGGCACUGGCAUCGUAUCUGCGCCUGUGCCCAAGAAGCUGUUGAUGAUGGCCGGUAUCGAUGACUGCUACACCUCGGCCAGGGGCUGCACCGCCACCCUGGGCAAUUUUGCCAAGGCCACCUUUGAUGCCAUCUCCAAGACCUACAGCUAUCUCACUCCCGACCUCUGGAAAGAGACAGUGUUCACCAAGUCUCCUUACCAGGAAUUCACUGACCACCUGGUGAAGACCCACACAAGAGUCUCUGUGCAGAGAACCCAGGCGCCAGCUGUGGCCACCACAUAGUAGAGUUUAUACCAGGAAAUAAAGUGAAUUACGC